AACCAACGCUGGCGGCGUGCCUAAUACAUGCAAGUCGAACGGGGAAAGCUUUCGGGUGAGUACUAGUGGCGCACGGGUGAGGAACGCGUGGAUAAUCUGCCUUAGAGUGGGGGAUAACUAGUCGAAAGAUUAGCUAAUACCGCAUAAGACCACGAGAGCUGCGGCUUUUGAGGUCAAAGGUUUUUCGCUCUAAGAUGAGUCCGCGUAAGAUUAGCUAGUUGGUGAGGUAACGGCUCACCAAGGCGACGAUCUUUAACUGGUCUGAGAGGAUGAUCAGUCACACUGGAACUGAGACACGGUCCAGACUCCUACGGGAGGCAGCAGUAGGGAAUAUUGCACAAUGGAGGGAACUCUGAUGCAGCGACGCCGCGUGAGUGAUGAAGGCCUUCGGGUCGUAAAGCUCUGUCGCAGGGGAAUAACACAAUGAAGGUACCCUGUAAGAAAGGAUCGGCUAACUUCGUG
rnacentral:rRNA from 1 species